AAAUUUACGCUUAAAGAGUUGAUUAGUUUACUAAGAGAUGAUUUAUUGUAAAUUUUAGUGGCGGACUGGUGAGUAAUACAUAGGUAAUCUGCCUUUUAGAGGGGAAUAACUAGGAGAAAUCCUAGCUAAUACCGCGUAAGACCACACUUAGGCAUCUAAGAGAGGUCAAAGGAGUAAUCCGCUAAAAGAUGAGCCUGUGGCUGAUUAGUUAGUUGGUGGGGUAAGAGCCUACCAAGACGAUGAUCAGUAGCCGAGCUGAGAGGCUGGCCGGCCACAUUGGGACUGAGAUACGGCCCAGACUCCUACGGGAGGCAGCAGUUGGGAAUAUUGGACAAUGGAGGAAACUCUGAUCCAGUGACGCCGCGUGAAGGAAGAAGGUCUUCGGAUUGUAAACUUAUUUUAUCAGGGAAGAAGAAAGUGACAGUACCUGAAGAAAAAGGACCGGCAAACUACGUGCCAGCAGCCGCGGUAAUACGUAGGGUCCAAGCGUUAUCCGGAUUUACUGGGUGUAAAGGGCGAGUAGACGGCGCUGUAAGUCAGCUGUGAAAACUUAGGGCUCAACCUUAAGCCUGCAGCUGAAACUGUGGUGCUAGGGUGCAGGAGAGGUAAGCGGAAUUCCUAGUGUAGCGGUGAAA
rnacentral:rRNA from 1 species